rnacentral:rRNA from 1 species
GACGAAUGCUGGCGGCGUGCUUAACACAUGCAAGUCGAACGGAAAGGCCCUGCUUUUGUGGGGUGCUCGAGUGGCGAACGGGUGAGUAACACGUGAGUAACCUGCCCUUGACUUUGGGAUAACUUCAGGAAACUGGGGCUAAUACCGGAUAGGAGCUCCUGCUGCAUGGUGGGGGUUGGAAAGUUUCGGCGGUUGGGGAUGGACUCGCGGCUUAUCAGCUUGUUGGUGGGGUAGUGGCUUACCAAGGCUUUGACGGGUAGCCGGCCUGAGAGGGUGACCGGCCACAUUUGGACUGAGAUACGGCCCAGACUCCUACGGGAGGCAGCAGUGGGGAAUAUUGCACAAUGGGCGGAAGCCUGAUGCAGCAACGCCGCGUGCGGGAUGACGGCCUUCGGGUUGUAAACCGCUUUCGCCUGUGACGAAGCGUGAGUGACGGUAAUGGGUAAAGAAGCACCGGCUAACUACGUG